CAUAGGAAAAAAAAAAAAAAAAAAGGAGAGUUUCUUAUAAGGUGGAAUUUACAAAAGGGAAAAUACAAAGGAAAAAAGAUCUUACCCCAACCUAAGUAUCAAUUCAGAAGUUCAGAUAGUAGCGAUAAUAGAAAAAAAGGGACUCCAACAUUGGGAUUACUAUCUGAAACCUGUAGCAAGUGCUUUCUGUGGAACUAUCCUAUUACGCUAACAGAGACAGCUUGCUCCGAAUGAACAGUAGUAGGUUGGUGCAGUUCUCAUAACAAACAGCAGAACUUAAUGAUGACACAAUCCAUUAUUUCCAGCUGUGUGCAUAGCUUGCAUUUUUUAAAUAUGAAAAUGCAAGCGAAAGCAGCUCUAGCAAAGAAAGUAUGCUCAAGGACCAAAGAUUUAACAGAUAAAAAUACCCAAGUAGAAGAGAUAUAGUAGAAUAUAUAAAGAGUUAACUAUAUUUGUUACACACCAAUAAACAUCAAAGUGCCUGUUGCCUUCUGAAAAUUUGAAGUGGAAAAAUUUUAUGAUUUAAUGAUUAUUUUAUCAGGGACUCAAGAAGAAAAUAAAACAACGUAUAAGCUUGUGAAUGGUGGAAGAAAUGCCCUAUUUUUUCUUGGCAAAUACUUGUAUAAAGUUAACAUUGUUGGUGUGAUAUUAUCAUAGGUACAUGUGUAUGUGUGUGUACAUUAUGUGUAUAUAUAUACGUAUUUGAGAUAUGUAUAUAUACACACAAUACAUUGACUAAGGUCUAGAAUAAUGUAGCAAAUAGAAAAUGUUUAAAUACUGUGUGCUUUUAUGUUUUCAACAGGAUGACAUGAGACGUGGGCAUAUUGCAGUGAUGAGUUAAAACCCACAUCUAAAAAAUUAAAACCAAUGAAGGAGGAAAACAAGUAAUAUAUUUGUUAGGAAGAGCAGAGAUUAUACAUUUUUAGUGAUUUUUUUUCUUUUUUUUUUUUUUUUUGUGAGCCAUAGAAUUCUACAAAUGGGAGAAUAUUUGUUUGGCAGAGCACUCUUUUUGUACUGAACUGCCAUUUUGACAGUAGGAACCCUUUUAUUUUGUGUUAUAUUUGCAUGCCUCCAUGGUGUACAAUCCAGUGGAUCAUGGAUCAGCGAUAGUUCAUUUAAAUCCCUAACUGCUAAUAAAAUUUCUGGUGAUCUGAACACUACUUAUUAAUAUUUAAAUGAAUUUUUUAAUGAAUGCAUUCUGCAUUCCAGGACCACUAGAAUUUAGUAAAUGUGAAAUGACCCUUUUUAAAGAGUAUUUGCACAAUUGCUUAAAAUUUAUAUAUGAGAUAUAUAUUAUAUAUAAAAUUUUAUAAAUUCACGUCGAUAUGAAACACCUUUGAUCUGAUUGUCACACUGCAUUUAAAUAUUUAGUACUGUACUUUAAAUUCAGUCACUUUGCAUUGGAUCAGAUCCAACUUUAUCAUCUCUUUACCAAGAGACCAGUUAAACCUUUGUGAAAUGAACUGGCAUUAUCAUUUCAGUUCAGUGACAGCUAAUCCUAAAACCAUUCCUUCUCCCAGCUUUUUAUUCCUUUGGACACUGGUCUCUGAAAAUGCAUUUGUUAAAAACAAAACUAACACAUGCAAACCUUUCCUUUGUAUUGUGAAACAGCCACAUAAUUCCUACCAGCUCUAGUGGAUGACUGCUUACUGUGACAGUUCCUCUGAAGAACCUACCAGAUUUCUGUCAUCAAGUUCAAGAGGGAUUGGGGAAGAAAAUAGCAUCAUCCUAUUGGCAGUGUCAUUUGUUUGCUAUUGGGGCAUCACUCAGAUGCUCAGUUGUAGGCUAAUCCAUCUGAAACUACCUUUUGCACACCUUUCUUUGAAGCCUUAACAGGAACUUGAUGGGUUUGCUGUAGCAGCUUCCCUGUGAAUUCUCUCUGAGCUGUCACAGCUACUGCACUGCCACUCACUGUUUCCUAGGGAACUCUUUCUUCUCCCACGUUGGCUCAUUCUCCCUCACUCCAGCCCUGGGUUUGAAAAUGAAUUGUGAAUUUCCAGGCAAUAUUAUUCCAUUUUCAGAUUAAGCCUGAUACUUAACUGUCCAGAAGCCAGAGCUCUGCCUGCUUGCUUACCUGUUUGGAGUUUUCUAAGAGAAAACUAAGGGAACACUUGGGAACAUAGACGCAGACAGUGAUCUGCCUUCUUCCUUCUCAUCCUAACUAUUGACAAGUGAGUUGUCCAUUAUAUUACAAAGAAUUUGGAGAACGCUGGCUCUGCCACAGCAAAAAUCUGCUGUUAAUUGAUAACACGAAUUUUUGUUUGGAGGAGCCUUAUUUGAAAAUAUACUCUUCACUUAUUUUCUGAAAUGUUUAUGUUCUUUUCUUAUUCCAACUUUGGUCGCAUAGUUGGAAUCGCCAACACCUGGCAUUCAGAUAGAACAGGCUAUGCUCAAGACAACCUUCAGCCGUUGCUUUAAAACUUCUAUAAUUUAUUUCUUUUUUGUAUGUACUAUAGUCUUGUGCAUAUGUAGUUGAACAGACAGUGGAAUAUGUGUCUCUCUUUGUGGAUGUGUAACCUAAAAGUCUGAAUGUCUGGAGAGAGAGAGCCGUGUGUAUAGGUCAGAGAAAAAGAACAGCUCUCAACUCCUGAUCGGUGCCUGUGAUUUGCUUGCUUUUGUGCUUAUCUGGCCUAGUGUGCUGUUAACUUUAAAACAGGAAGAAGUUUUAUCUUCUGGAGGCUCUUCUCACCUGUCCAGUUUGGCAUGUCAGAGAACAUUUGACCUGUGACCGUGCCCUUCUAAAAAGUUGAUUUUCAGUAAAUCCGAUUGUCUCAAGAAGUCCUACAGUGAGAUGGACUUUUCCCUUCCUGAAGUAUCUGCUCACUUUAGUAGUGGGUGGACUAUUUUAACGGGGCUCCAAACAAUGCAAGGAUGGAAGAAUAUUUGUAAGCCAAGCCAUGGAAGAAACACAAAGAAAAGUGAACACCGUUUCUGCCACCCCUUUCUGUUAGCUUAUCGUCGGCUGCUUUACUGUGCAUAAAGUUGUUUUCAAUGCAGUGCUUGUCAAAUAAAUAUCGUGAACUAUUUUGUGAAUGAAAUGUAUUAUGUUGAAAGCUGUCAGCAGUUCAAAAAUAAGCUUUCUUUUUUGUUUGAAGACAAAGUGUAUUAGAUGAAACUGAAAAGUAAAAAAAAAAAA
rnacentral:lncRNA from 1 species